rnacentral:lncRNA from 1 species
GGAAGAGUGGUUGGUAACGGAGUUCGGGUUUAAGAGAGUGGUGUCUCUCCGAAGGCGGUGAGUUGUUCAACUACGGAAAAGAAAGAAGGAGUCGCGUGUGAUGAUUUUUUGGCCAGAUCUGGUUUGUGGAUUGUUUUUUGGCCAGAUCUGGCCCGUAUCUCCGGCUAAUAGUGAUGGCGGUGAGGGGCGGCGUGGCUAAUGGAUCCGGUGGAGA